UACAGAGGGUGCGAGCGUUAAUCGGAAUUACUGGGCGUAAAGCGUGCGUAGACGGUUAUUUAAGUCGGGUGUGAAAGCCCCGGGCUCAACCUGGGAAUUGCAUUCGAGACUGAAUAGCUAGGGUACGGUAGAGGGAAGCGGAAUUUCCGGUGUAGCGGUGAAAUGCGUAGAUAUCGGAAGGAACAUCAGUUGCGAAGGCGGCUCUCUGGACCAGCACUGACACUGAGGCACGAAAGCGUGGGGAGCAAACAGG
rnacentral:rRNA from 1 species